rnacentral:sRNA from 1 species
GCUGGGGUUGGCUGCAGGCUCCAGGAGUUAGGUUCCACAUGGAUUUCAGAUGAGACUUUCUUGCUAACCCUACUUUUUUUCUGAUUAUAAAAGUAAUAAAGACUCCUUGUAGAGGAGGCAAAAUACAAAGGAGAGUGUGAAGCCCCCAUCACUCCACUAAUGUUCACCAGUUGGGGGUGGGAGGUGUUUUCCUUCAGAUUUCUGUGUAUACAUUUAUAACUGGCAUCCUUUUGUAUGCAAUGUUAACUGCCUUUUGUUUUCACUAAGCAAUGUAUUAUGUUGAGCACCCAUUUUGGGAGAGUAGACAGCCUGUACCACGGUCAGCCCGCACACAGGCUGCACGAAUCCAGGCACCUCGCUGGCUCCAAAGCCCACGAAGGGACCCCGCCCAGGAUGUCAGAGUCUCUGUCACUCCCGGGCAGAAGGAGACAGUGAUGACGGGAAGGAGAUUUCUCCACCCAGGUGAACUCCUCCCUCACCUCCCCGACGGGGCGAGGCUCCAUGGCUGCCCCCUCGCUGCACCCGUCCCUGGGGCCUGGCAUCGGCUCCCCGGGACAGCUGCACUCUCCCAUCAGCACCCUGAGCUCCCCCAUCAACGGCAUGGGCCCGCCUUUCUCGGUCAUCAGCUCCCCCAUGGGCCCCCACUCCAUGUCGGUGCCUACAACACCCACCCUGGGCUUCGGCACUGGCAGCCCCCAGGUGAGUGCGGGGCUGGGGCAAGGGGAGGGGUGGGCCUGGGGGUGGGGCCUGGGGUGGGGCUGUGGCUUCAACUGCAGGACGACCGCCUCAUCUUAAGGCCUCUGGGAGGUAGGUGCUGUGGUCUCCCUGCUUGACGCAGAGUAUACAGAGCCUCAGGGAGCAGCGUGCCGCGGGGGUUUGAGCCCAGGUGGGGCUGACUGCUGAGCCUGGGCCUUUGGAUCAUCAGCCGAGGUGCCUUGCAGCGGGUUAUCUGUCCACAUGGCCCCUUCCCAUGCUGGAGGGCUCGGGACUCCCUGUUCCCAUGACUGGGGGGCUCAGCAGAGAGAGGCUGUGGCCUCCCUCAGGCCUAAGCCUGCUUCCCCAAAAGCUUGUGCCCACACAGUCUGGGUCCUCCCCUGAAGUCUCUGCUCACACCCAGGUCAAAGGGCCCCCAGGGAAGGCGUGUUCGGGCUCAGGGCAGCUGCGUCCCCCCUCAGGGAUGCCGGCCCUGGGACCUGCAGUGGCCGGGUGUGGCCGCGGUGCUCCGUGGUCUGGGCUCCCCCAUGGCCGUCUGUGGGGCGUGGGGACCUUUUCCAUAGUUGAGGUUUGCUCAGUCGCUUCUCCAGCUCAGCCUGGCCCUUUGGGCUGUUUCUGGAUCAGGAAGGGCUGGUGCCUGGCAGAGCCUGGCACAGUCCAGGUCUUGUCAUGGGGAACUUGGGGACCUGGUCCAUGCUCCCCUUCUUCCUUAGAAAAGAUACCCCGAGUGUCUCUCGUGGAGUUGUCCCCAGCCCUGGGGUGUCCGGUCUGUGAGGGUGGAGGGCGAGGCUCCGGGUGGUUGCUUGUGGAUUUCCACCUGGCCAGCCGGAACCUCCCAGACUCCCACUAGGCCCUCCCUCUCCAGGGGCUCCUCACAUGAGCAGGGGUGCUCCUUCCACUCUGAAUUUCUGUGUUUGGGUUUCACCCUGUGUCCCUAGUAGCUGAAGGCUCCAUGGCAGAGUUUUGGUGCCAUCUCAGGACAGCCCACCAGGGUGGGACUUGCCCUAGCAGCUCCUCUGCCCACACACAGCUGACAGCGCCAGAUGUGUCCUGUGGACUCCCAAGCCCCCUGCUGCUCUGCCUCAGUUUACCUAGGGCAGGCACUAGGCCCAAGGGAUUGCACGUGAGGGGGCCAGGAGGCAGCAGGUGGACACCUAGUCCCAAGCCCCCAUGCUAUCUCCCAGGUAGUCCGGGACUGCUCCUGACCUAGGACUGGGCUGUGGUUGGGGUCUGGAGCCGGCCUACUGCCCAUCCACCUGGGCCUGUUUAGAGCUGGCCUUGACCUCCUGAGCUCCUUUUCCCUGGAGAAUCUUGCUGGCUUUCUGGGCCAACCCCACCAAAGCCCCUCUCCUCUGGGGGAUAUGUGCAGAAGAACUGGGGCCUCUGCUCCGUGUCCCCCUCAUAUCACCUGGCCUUCUGAAAGCAGGCAGCAGGCCCAAGGUGCUGGCACGAGGGAGGCCUGGUCGUGUUAUUUUUAGUACACCAGCCCUGCCCCUGCUCUUGCUGGCAGCACGGUGCCCUGUGGCGAGAGGGUGAUGAAGACUUGGCUUCCGCCCGUCCCUUGGCUCACUGGCUGGCACCUGCUUGGUCCCAGGGCCCCAGGAUGCCCCUUGCUGGGUCUUCCCAGGUCUGCCGCCUGCCCUGGACACCCAGGGGUCUAGUGCACAGUAGGUUACCCCCUGCGGGUGGCAGUGGUGCUCCCAGAAUCCUCAGGGGUGCCUGGUGGCCUCGGCACUGUUGAGCCCUUCUCGGGGAGGGAAUGGGCAGCACUAGGGGAGGAGGCUUUUCAGGGCUGCUUCUGGGUCGUUCUCUGUUGCUUCCUGUGCAGCCAGGCUUCUGGCACAAAGCAGGGACUUGUUGAAGCCAAGUUGCUUGGGAGUGAGUGGUGCAGGUCCCCUUGACACUGGCGAGGGCCCCAGGGUGGGUGUGGGUGAGGAGCAGACGCGGGUUGUCCCAGACGUUCCCUGCCCAGCCGCUGUUGGCGUCGGUCUGCCGUUGGGCUGUGGGUCUCACCCGCAGUUAGUUUGCUGUGGUCUGAGGCCCAUGCUUGACUUGGCCCUGGUUCCCCAGAACCCAUAGCUCCUUCCCUGGGGGUUGAGUCCAGGUUCGAGGCCUCAGCAGUUUGUCUUGGAACUCUGGGGUUCCUCACAUUCAUGGGAGUGUGAGCAGGGUUUCAGGAGGGAUGUGCCCCCACUCCUAGCCCCAAAACCACAACCGCAAAGUCAGAGUUGCUGGAGCCAGAGAGAUUCUCUGACUUCUGCUGCUGUUGGGGAGGGCCAGGCACUCUGCCAAGUGCUGCCUUCUGCCUUCUCAAGUCCAUGGCCGGGAAGGGCCUUCCAUGUGGCCGCGCCCAGGCCACUGGACCCCUCCUGGUGGGGGAAUAGGAGUCUGGGGGGCUUGGGUAGACCCAGGGCAGACCACAGCUGCCUGGCCCCUGAGCUGUCCCAAAUCUCUUCCCUGGUCUGGAGGCUGUACCUCCAGAGCAGGCCCAGGGGACAUUCCCCACACUGUCCCAGAGCCUUCCUGGCUACAGCCGGCUCACCUGGGCACGUUGCAGGUAUUGGUGGAGUGAGUUGGCGCCACCUUCCACACAGAGCACUUCUGAGUGCCUGGCGUGGAGCUGGACUUGGUGUCAAGGCCUCUGAGCUCCAGCAAAGCCUCCUGGCGGGAGGGCCUGCCCAGGGCCUGUGGGGCUGUGAUGUGUGCACAGAGAGUGUGGACGCGAGGCUGAGUGGGCUUCACGGGGUCAGAAGCAGGGCAGCACCGGCGCCUACCCGCCAGGGACUGAGGUUGGAGGGGAGUGUGCAGAGGAGCUGGUGUGCUUCUGCCUUGAUGGACAGAUGAGGCCCAGCAAGGCCCAGGGGCCUGCUCCUGGCGCAGAGUGGACCUUCCCCAAGUCGGGGCUGGUGGAGAGACCCUUCAGGGGCUCAGGAAGGAAGGGUGUGGUGGGUGUGAGGAGAGAGCCAAGAGACGGGCAGGAGACCUGGGUGGGGCACCGAGGCGGCGGGAACUGAAAUAAGUGCCAAGGAUCUGAAAGGGGAAAUGGGAUGGCCCUCACCCUGGCCACGCAUGGAGUCCUGAGGCUCCAGCAAAGCAACAAUGGCAGCCUGGCUCUCCUAGGAGCCGGAGCAGGGAGUGUGGGAGGAGACCCUGGAUAGCUGGGGGGCUGUGGAGCCCACUGAGGGAGGGACAGACCAAGGCAGACCCUGGGGGUGGCCCUGUGCUGCGCUCUGGGGGCUGUGAGCCAACCCAAGGCCCAGCAGCCUGGGGCUGGAAGGGCGGAAGAACGCCCGCCUGGCCUCCCGAUCCUGGCACAGCCUUGCUUCUGCAGCCUGGACCGUCCUCCAGGUGAGCCCAGAGAAGCAAGGUGGGUGGCCCCAGGGCCUGCAGCCAGGAUGGGCACCUCAGCCCGGGCUCCACUCUUCUCAGAUGUGCAGAGGCUCACCGGGCCCUGGGCUCACUGGGCUAGCCAGAGCCUCUGAUCUCACUGAGGUCUAGGGGAGCCAGGGAUGCACCCUGAGUUCAGUGCAGGAGCUGGCUUGGCCCUGACGCUGAGAGGGAGGGUGACCAUCUGCCAUUCUGUCCUGCCUGGAGUCCCUUUCCUGGCCAGGGCUGCUCUGGUGCUCCCUCAGUUUACCCAGGGCAGGUGCUAAGGCCCAAGGGACUGCACAUGGGGGGCCGGGAGGCAGCAGGUGGAUCCCUACCCACCCGAGGUGGUUUGGGACAGCCUAGAAAGAGGAAGUGUGUGAAUUCCUUUCCUUUGUGCUUCCGAGCAACCUGGACCUGCAUAGUCAUGGCCUGUGCUCCCCCAGCCUCUGGCCCAAGGGCCUCCUGCUCAUACACCUCGGUGCCUCCCCAGUGCUAGGGCACAAAGCGAGGGUGCCCGACACUUCCUGCUUGUGGAUGCCUUUGCUGCCCCUGCUCUGACCUGAUCCCCGCCCCGGCUGUACCUACUUCUUUCCUUUUUUCAAGCAAGCCCUUUGCUUCCCCACCUCUGAACACUGGCUUGGGGGCCCCUCUGCCUGGGACACCCCUUUCUUCCUCCCAGGACCUGGCCCAUCUCCUCCAGGAGGCUUGAGUGCUCGCUGCAGCGGCUGGCCUCCCUGUAAGAGUGAGUUGUCUGCAAGCUCUGCUCUGAGCCCUGGCACAUAGAGUGACUCGGUUACACUUAAUCAGCUCUCAGAGGCAUUGGCUGGGCACGGUGGCUGAACGCCUGUAAUCCCAGCACUUUGGGAGGCCGAGGCGGGAGGAUUGCUUGAGCCUAGGAGUUGGAGACAAGCCUGGGCAACAUAGUUGAGACCCCGCCACUAUAAAAAAAAAAAUAGCUGAGUGCAGUGGCAUGCACUUGUAAUCCCAGCUACUCAGGAGGCUGAAGCAGGAGGAUCAAUUGGGCCUGGAAGUUUGAGGCUGCAGUGACUAUGAUUGUGCCACUGUACUCCAGCCUGGGCAACAGAGUGAGACCCUGUUUCGG